rfam:Ictidomys tridecemlineatus contig030857, whole genome shotgun sequence.
GGGAUUGUGGCUCAGCGGUAGAGCACUCGCCUCGCAUGUGGGAGACCCUGGGUUCGAUCCUCAGCACCA